GACGUAGGGCGCGAGCGUUGUCCGGAUUUAUUGGGCGUAAAGAGCUCGUAGGCGGCUUGUUGCGUCAGCUGUGAAAACCCGCAGCUCAACUGUGGGCUUGCAGCUGAUACGGGCAGGCUUGAGUCCGGUAGGGGAGUGUGGAAUUCCCGGUGUAGCGGUGAAAUGCGCAGAUAUCGGGAGGAACACCGAUGGCGAAGGCAGCACUCUGGGCCGGCACUGACGCUGAGGAGCGAAAGCGUGGGGAGCGAACAGG
rnacentral:rRNA from 1 species